rnacentral:rRNA from 1 species
UGAGUACGAGACGCUAAGGCGUUGAAGCAGUCUAUGUCAGACUUCCAAGAAAAGCUCGCAAUGUCAUAAACGAAAAAUGCCUGUACCAUAACCGACACAGGUGGGUAGGUAGAGUAUACUAAGGGGCGCGAGAUAACUCUCUCUAAGGAACUCGGCAAAAUGACUCCGUAACUUCGGGAGAAGGAGUGCCUUAUUUUUAUAAGGUUGCAAUAACAAGAUCCAAGCAACUGUUUACCAAAAACACAGGUCUCCGCUAAGUCGUAAGACGAUGUAUGGGGGCUGACGCCUGCCCAGUGCCAGAAGGUUAAAGAAGUUGGUUAGUUUCGGCGAAGCUGAUGACUGAAGCCCUGGUGAACGGCGGCCGUAACGAUAGCGGUCCUAAGGUAGCGAAAUUCCUUGUCGGGUAAGUUCCGACCCGCACGAAAGGCGUAAUGAUUUGGAUACUGUCUCGGAGAGGGGCUCGGUGAAAUAGACUUGUCUGUGAAGAUGCGGACUACCUGCACCUGGACAGAAAGACCCUAUGAAGCUUUACUGUAACUUGAGAUUGAAAUUGGACUUUAUUUGCGCAGUAUAGGUGGGAGACGUUGAGAAUAUUCUUGCGGGAAUAUUGGAGUCAUCAGUGAGAUACCACUCUUGUAAUGUUAGAUUUCUAACUUUGUAUCAUUAUCUGGUCAAAGGACAGUUUCAGGCGGGCAGUUUGACUGGGGCGGUCGCCUCCCAAACGGUAACGGAGGCGCACAAAGGUUUCCUCUGAACGUGUAGAAAUCGUAUCUAGAGUGUAAAGGCAUAAGGAAGCUUGACUGUGAGACCUACAAGUCGAGCAGGGACGAAAGUCGGUCUUAGUGAUCUGACGGUGCUGAGUGGAAAGGCCGUCACUCAACGGAUAAAAGUUACUCUAAGGAUAACAGGCUGAUCUCCCCCAAGAGUUCACAUCGACGGGGAGGUUUGGCACCUCGAUGUCGGCUCAUCGCAUCCUGGGGCGGUAGUACGUCCCAAGGGUUGGGCUGUUCGCCCAUGAAAGCGGUACGCGAGCUGGGUUCAGAACGUCGUGAGACAGUUCGGUCCAUAUCCGGUGUAGGCGUUAGAAUAUUGAGAGGAGCCUUCUUUAGUACGAGAGGACCGAGAAGGACAUACCUCUGGUGUACCAGUUAUCGUGCCAACGGUAAACGCUGGGUAGCUAUGUAUGGAGUGGAUAACCGCUGAAAGCAUCUAAGUGGGAAGCCCACCUCAAGAUAAG